rnacentral:rRNA from 1 species
UAGGGAAUCUUCCGCAAUGGGCGAAAGCCUGACGGAGCAACGCCGCGUGAGUGAUGAAGGUCUUCGGAUCGUAAAACUCUGUUAUUAGGGAAGAACAAAUGUGUAAGUAACUAUGCACGUCUUGACGGUACCUAAUCAGAAAGCCACGGCUAACUACGUGCCAGCAGCCGCGGUAAUACGUAGGUGGCAAGCGUUAUCCGGAAUUAUUGGGCGUAAAGCGCGCGUAGGCGGUUUUUUAAGUCUGAUGUGAAAGCCCACGGCUCAACAGUGGAGGGUCAUUGGAAACUGGAAAACUUGAGUGCAGAAGAGGAGAGUGGAAUUCCAUGUGUAGCGGUGAAAUGCGCAGAGAUAUGGAGGAACACCAGUGGCGAAGGCGACUUUCUGGUCUGUAACUGACGCUGAUGUGCGAAAGCGUGGGGAUCAAACAGG